rnacentral:rRNA from 1 species
GCGAACGGCUCAUUAUAACAGCUAUAAUUUACUAGACCUUGACCAGUUACUCGGAUAACUGUGGUAAUUCUAGAGCUAAUACGUGCACCGAAGUUGUCCCUCACGGGAUAAUGCAUUUAUUUGAACAAAACCAGGCGGCUUCGGCCGUUCCUGUUGAAUCAGAAUAACUAAGCUGAUCGCAUGGGCUUGUCCCGGCGACGUGUCUUUCAAGUGUCUGCCUUAUCAACUUUCGAUGGUAGUGUACGUGACUACCAUGGUGUUGACGGGUAACGGAGGAUAAGGGUUCGACUCCGGAGAAGGGGCCUGAGAAAUGGCCACUACGUCUAAGGAUGGCAGCAGGCGCGCAAAUUACCCACUCUCGGUUCGAGGAGGUAGUGACGAAAAAUAACGAGGCCGUUCUCUAUGAGGCCGGCCAUCGGAAUGGGUACAAUCUAAACCCUUUAACGAGUAUCAAUGAGAGGGCAAGUCUGGUGCCAGCAGCCGCGGUAAUUCCAGCUCUCAAAAUGCAUAGAACCAUUGCUGCGGUUAAAAAGCUCGUAGUUGGAUCUGUGCCGGCGACGUGGUCCGCCCUAACGGGAGGCACUGCGCUCGUCGGCUUUGGGCCGGUCUUCGGACGGUCGCCUUCACCGGCGGCCGCUCGUGGCUGGCUGGUUUACUUUGAGCAAAUCAGAGUGCUCAGCACAGGCGUCUCGCCGGAAUGUUCGUGCAUGGAAUAAUAGAAAAGGAUUUCGGUUCUCUUUUAUUGGUUUUGUGAACUGAGAUAAUGGUUAACAGAGACGGACGGGGGCAUUCGUAUUGCUGCGUGAGAGGUGAAAUUCUUGGACCGCAGCAGGACGGACUACAGCGAAAGCAUUUGCCAAGCACGUCUUCAUUAAUCAAGAACGAAAGUCAGAGGUUCGAAGGCGAUCAGAUACCGCCCUAGUUCUGACCGUAAA